rnacentral:rRNA from 2 species
CGUGGACUUGCUCCUGAAUUACGGCGGACGGGUGAGUACACGUGGGCACCUGCCUAUAAGACUGGGAUAACUUCGGGAAACCGGAGCUAAUACCGGAUACGUUCUUUUCUCGCAUGAGAGAAGAUGGAAAGACGGUUUACGCUGUCACUUAUAGAUGGGCCCGCGGCGCAUUAGCUAGUUGGUGAGGUAAUGGCUCACCAAGGCGACGAUGCGUAGCCGACCUGAGAGGGUGAUCGGCCACACUGGGACUGAGACACGGCCCAGACUCCUACGGGAGGCAGCAGUAGGGAAUCUUCCGCAAUGGACGAAAGUCUGACGGAGCAACGCCGCGUGAACGAAGAAGGCCUUCGGGUCGUAAAGUUCUGUUGUUAGGGAAGAACAAGUACCAGAGUAACUGCUGGUACCUUGACGGUACCUAACCAGAAAGCCACGGCUAACUACGUGCCAGCAGCCGCGGUAAUACGUAGUGGCAAGCGUUGUCGUUUUUUUGGGGGG